AGAGAGAGACAUGCGCGCAUAUCAAUAAGCGGAGGAAAAGAAACUAACUAGGAUUCCCUCAGUAACGGCGAGUGAAGCGGGAAGAGCUCAAAUUUGAAAUCUUCAAGGGUUCUACCUUUACGAAUUGUAGUUUAAAGAAGUGUUUUCUGUUGGAGUUUUGGUAAAAGUUCUUUGGAAUAGGACAUCAUAGAGGGUGAGAAUCCCGUAUUUGACCAUUAUUUCCAGCUUUGUGAUACACUUUCAAAGAGUCGGAUUGUUUGGGAAUGCAGUCCAAAAUGGGUGGUAAAUUUCAUCUAAAGCUAAAUAUUGGCGAGAGACCGAUAGCGAACAAGUACCGUGAGGGAAAGAUGAAAAGAACUUUGAAAAGAGAGUUAAACAGUACGUGAAAUUGUCAAAAGGGAAGCGUUUGACACCAGUGUUGUUUUCUCGAAAAUCAAUUAAAAAAGGCAGGAUUUUGUGUUGUAUUGACCUUAAUCAGCUUCUGCACUUCAAUUUUCUUGUCUUUUUUAAUGCACUUUUCGUUUAACAAGUCAACAUCAGUUUCUUUCGUUGUAAAAGGGUCAUUGGAAGGUGGCUUUCUUUUCGGAGAAAGUGUUUAUAGCCUUUGGCCUCUGCAAUCGGAGAGAUUGAGGUCUGCAGCGUAGAUCCUUCGGGGUUAGAUACAUUUGUGCUAAGUUAUAGCCUUUCAUAGACAACUUGUUGACUAUGAUCAGUCAUGUAGCUUACUCGCUUAUGCUAUUUUACCUACGCUUAGGAUGUUGAUGUGAUACUGCGAGCA
rnacentral:rRNA from 1 species